rnacentral:rRNA from 1 species
CCCUUAGAUGUUCUGGGCCGCACGCGCGCUACACUGACGAAUGCAACGAGCUUAUAACCUUGGCCGAAAGGUCUGGGUAAUCUCCAAAUUUCGUCGUGAUGGGGAUAGAUUAUUGCAAUUAUUAAUCUUCAACGAGGAAUGCCUAGUAAGCGCAAGUCAUCAGCUUGCGUUGAUUACGUCCCUGCCCUUUGUACACACCGCCCGUCGCUCCUACCGAUUGAAUGGUCCGGUGAAGCGCUCGGACCGCGGCCUCUUGACGGUUUUCCGUCGAUUGGCUGUGGGAAGUUCGUUAAACCUUAUCAUUUAGAGGGAGGAGAAGUCGUAACA